AUGGGAAGGGCGCUGCAGAGCGCGGGAGGGCCGCGAGGGGGCGCCCGCGCACCGCGCACGGCCCUCAGGGCCCCGGGACAAUCCCGGGAAUCCCGGGCUGGGAAAGGAAUAUCCCAGGGCUCCCACGGCUCACCUCAGUGCCCGCCUCUGCUUCACAGCUCCAGCAGAAGGGAAGGUGUUCGGCCUAGGGGCUGGCUGGCUCUGCUCCCUGCUCACAGCUUGUAUACUGCACUGAGAACCAGCUUAAAAACAAUUAAAAACAUUCCUGAAGUCACUUUGCCAUGAAUGAAAUUCUAAGAAUUGUGUUCUCCAGCAGACCCAGUUUGAGGCCUGUCUGCAGGACAAUCUGUGUAGGAUUUGCUAGGGUUAUGCCUCUUUUCAGGCCAGCAUAUCCUUCAGAGCAGCAUUACGCAGGCAGAGAAGUGCAAUGGAGCAGAACUGAAGGAAUUCAGCAAAGGUUUCUUCUGGGUGUAUUUGUAAGUGCAAGGAGCAAGAUUAGAUCCCAAAUGACAAUUGAAAAGGGAAACCUAAUCUAGUAGCUAAGCCACGAGGCUCCAAGUCGGAAGAUACGGGCUUUCCAAGCUGUUUACUCACAAAGCCAAACUGGGUGCCUUCAGACAAAGUCUCUCAAACUUUGCCAGAAGUGCUGUCACUUUUGCAAAAAGACCUGUGUGAAAACAUUCACUUAUAAGAGAUGUUAACAAUGUCGUCAAUGAUGUUUGAGACUUGAUCCUCUAAACCACAUGUGAGACACAUCUGGAGUUUUAUCACCGCAGCAAAACACAGUUGUUUUUAAUGGUGAUACAACAGAAGUAGGUCAGAGCUGAUUCAGUUGGCACUGGCUUGUGUACAGGCAAGACUGUCACUGGUGUCACCCCUUGAAAAUGUCAGUUCUGAAAUCUGUGGAGGAGAGGCCCUGAGGAAAUUUGAGGUUAAUGCCACACUGCGAAAGAAGAUAAAAAGGAAAUGAAAUAGACACAACUGUUGCAUUAAAUAUUUAAUUUUGCAUCUGCUUUAAACAGCUAUCAAAUGAAACAAAUGGUUUCAGUCUUCAUUUAGAACAUGUUUGGUGUUAAAGCACAAACCAGUUGCAAACUGAGGUCAGAUCUCUGGACAAUCCAGAAGAAUUUCUCUGAUUUUUAGAUACCAUUUAUUCGAUCCAGCUGGGAAAUCUGAAAGAAAUACACUCAGCUGCCCAACUAAUAUUUUGGUUAAUCACAAUGUCAGUAAGCCAUAAAACUUCAGCUUUCUGAGGGGAAAGGGAUAAGUUCCAGUCACUUCUUGU
rnacentral:lncRNA from 1 species